UUGACCUCAAAUCAGGUAGGACUACCCGCUGAACUUAAGCAUAUCAAUAAGCGGAGGAAAAGAAACUAACAAGGAUUCCCCUAGUAACUGCGAGUGAAGCGGGAAAAGCUCAAAUUUGRAAUCUGGCAGUUCUUUACUGUCCGAGUUGUAAUCUAGAGAAGUGCUACCUGUGCUGGACCGUGUACAAGUCUCCUGGAAUGGAGUAUCAUAGAGGGUGAGAAUCCCGUCUUUGACACGGACUACCUGUGCGUUAUGGUGCGCUCUCAAAGAGUCGAGUUGUUUGGGAAUGCAGCUCAAAAUGGGUGGUAAAUGCCAUCUAAAGCUAAAUAUUGGCGAGAGACCGAUAGCGAACAAGUACCGUGAGGGAAAGAUGAAAAGAACUUUGGAAAGAGAGUUAAACAGUACGUGAAAUUGCUGAAAGGGAAACGCUUGAAGUCAGUCGCGUUGGCCUGAAAUCAACUUUGCUUUUGCUUGGUGUAUUUUCUGGUCAACGGGUCAGCAUCAAUUUUGACCACUGGAUAAAGUCCUUGGAAAUGUAGCAUCUUYGGAUGUGUUAUAGUCCAUUGUCGCAUACAGUGGUUGGGAUUGAGGAACUCAGCACGCCGCAAGGCCGGGUUUCGACCACGUUCGUGCUUAGGAUGCUGGCAUAAUGGCUUUAAUCGACCCGUC
rnacentral:rRNA from 1 species